UUCCCCCCCAUCUCCUUCUAUUCCCCCCCUCCCGUCUCUGAGUGCGGUGAGACGGGUUUAAGGCGCUCGGUUCGACCUGUUCCGAGCUCUUUCCCUAUUUAAAAUUUUAAAAAAAAAAAAAAAAAGAAUCUGCAGACCCGCUCAGGCGCUCAAGUUGUGAUGAAAUGCCCGGCAGCCCGGCGGUAGCUGCGACUCGUCUCCGCGUCGCGUAGCGUCUUCGCCCUGCUUUCCUUGUCCGAGGGGGCUCGUAGGUGAUAAAACGCAGCAAAAUUUCUCGUUUCCAGCAAGCGUGCGCCCGUCGCGAGUACGCACGUGUGUGCAUAAGCGCGUGUGUGCGUGUACUCAAGUCUUGAAGCGUUCCGUUUUAAUCGCCGAGGCAGUGCCUUCAUAGGAUCGUGUAGUGUGUUUGACUUGCACCUCUGUUCUCAGAGAUUCCUGAAUCUCGUCGAAGGGUCGGCGAUAAGUUAAUCGUGGUGUGCCUGCUGUGUUUUUAUGGAUAGGAAAAAAAUAUUACUAUAAUUGAGCUGAUAAAUUCUGUGGUUUUUUUUUUCAGUUUGCUUGGUGUGCAUUUGGCAGUAGCUUACAGAUACUUCAGGCUUUUUUUUUUUUCUAAUUCAUGAAAUCGUUUUCUUCUCAACCCCCCAAGAAAUGAAACAUGCCAAAAAGAAACAGUAUUAAGAGUAAGAAUUGGCAGAAAAAUAUCUAGGUGAGGUCUUGUGACUGAACGGCGUUAAUCUCUUUUGUGGAAGUGACAGAAUGCCAUAGGGAAGGCUGAUACGUAAGUUGCUACGAAAUGCACCACAGUAACCUGGGAAAAGCACGAUUUUUCUGAAAUUCCUCAGACCUUUAGACUGUACGGGUAGUCAGGGAAGGCUGUUUGAAGCUGAAUCUUUUUUUUUUUUUUGAAGUUGUCUUGGUCUGUUCUGGAAUGCUUCAGUCAUAAUUACGUCCUGUUCAGCAAGUUCUAAUGCGUCUCGGGGAGCUCUGUGCAGCGCUAGAGAUGUAGGCUCCAGUAUCUGCGGGAAGUUUUGCGCAGCGGAGGGGCCUUCGGCCACCGGGGACGGAAAGCCCCACGUUGUAUUCUGGAGAAGUAGGGUUGCAUCCAUAGUCUCGUGCCGUGAUCCCCAGGCAAAAUGCCUCUCUGUUGGAGAGCGCAGCGCCUUAGCUUACCGUAGCGAAGUUUGUGCAGUCGAAAUCGGUCUGCUUGCGUUCUGUAAAGCAGCUAAAACAAACGUCUGAGCUAAGAGAAAGCAGGAGAACUGGAGGGAUAACAGAAAGGCUUGCUGUGAACAUCGUUAAGGUUUCGCGAUAGUCAGAUUCUGCAGUCGUCUCGUUGCCCUUUGAAUCGAAAAGGAAGGUUGAGACUCGGGGCUGUUAGCUGACCGUUACCGAGCAGCACUCAACGAGCUGGCUCGCACGCUGGAGUAUCCGCGGGAGAGAUUUUCCCUUAUCUAGCCAGGUAGGAGGAGUGCUUUUGUCUAAUUACCUCUUUAUUAGAUACAUAAUAGUUUUCAUACCUAA
rnacentral:lncRNA from 1 species